rnacentral:tmRNA from 3 species
GGGGAUGCAAGGCAUAGACAGUUGGCCUUUUGCUCUCGAUGCAUACCGAGCAUGAACAUAACCUCGUUAAAAUUUGUUCAAAUGUUAAUUGCAAAAUUAACUUCAGCAAUCCGUUCGCCUUACUUCGGUAAUGCGUUCGCAUUAGCUCCAGUGACCGCUUCGGCGUAAGCUGGUGUCUCGCUUAUGGACUUCCGAUAUAUAAGCUGAGGCAUAAUAUUAUCGGGAUUAGGGAGAGGACCGCCAUGACCGCUUCCGAAAUCAAAGUGGCUCGAUUGAAAAAUAUUUGGCGCGUUUCUUAAUUUUUCAAUUUAAUCCGCCAGCCGGCGGAAAAAAGCGCGCUAAGUAUGUAGACUUCUUGGCGAUAACCUUCUGCACCGGGGUUCAAUUCCCCGCAUCUCCACUG